rfam:Halosimplex carlsbadense 2-9-1 contig_4, whole genome shotgun sequence.
CCUGCCUGUGCAGGUCGGGAUGUGAUCGCCGGCGACGGCGGUUGAACCACGCA